rnacentral:rRNA from 1 species
GCGUGAAGUUGGAAUUGCUGUAAUCGCGGAUCAGCAUGCCGCGGUGAAUACGUUCCCGGGCCUUGUACACACCGCCCGUCACACCAUGGAAGUCGGUAAUGCCCGAAGUCAGUAGCCUAACCGCAAGGAGGGCGCUGCCGAAGGCAGGAUUGAUGACUGGGGUGAAGUCGUAACAAGGUAGC